AGCAGCCGCGGUAAUUCCAGCUCCAAUAGCGUAUAUUAAAGUUGUUGCAGUUAAAAAGCUCGUAGUUGAAUUUCGGGAUUGGCGCAUCGGUCGUGCCUUACGGGGUAUGAACUGGUGCAGUCAAUUUCUCACCUUCUGGAGAACCGCGAUGUCCUUAAUUGGGUGCCGCGGGGAACCAGGACCUUUACUUUGAAAAAAUUAGAGUGUUUAAAGCGGGCAUUUUUGCUUGAAUACAUUAGCAUGGAAUAAUAAAAUAGGACGGCAUGGUUCUAUUUUGUUGGUUUCUAGGACCACCGUAAUGAUUAAUAGGGAUAGUUGGGGGCAUUAGUAUUCAAUUGUCAGAGGUGAAAUUCUUGGAUUUAUUGAAGACUAACUACUGCGAAAGCAUUUGCCAAGGAUGUUUUCAUUAAUCAAGAACGAAAGUUAGGGGAUCGAAGACGAUCAGAUACCGUCGUAGUCUUAAACCAUAAACUAUGCCGACUAGGAAUCAGACGAUGUAAUUUUUAAUGACUCGUUUGGC
rnacentral:rRNA from 1 species